rnacentral:rRNA from 1 species
CGUAGGGUGCGAGCGUUAAUCGGAAUUACUGGGCGUAAAGCGUGCGCAGGCGGUUUAGUAAGACAGGCGUGAAAUCCCCGGGCUCAACCUGGGAACUGCGCUUGUGACUGCUAAGCUAGAGUACGGCAGAGGGGGGUGGAAUUCCACGUGUAGCAGUGAAAUGCGUAGAGAUGUGGAGGAACACCAAUGGCGAAGGCAGCCCCCUGGGUCGAUACUGACGCUCAUGCACGAAAGCGUGGGUAGCAAACAGGAUUAGAUACCCUGGUAGUCCACGCCCUAAACGAUGUCAACUAGGUGUUGGGAGGGUAAAACCUUUUAGUACCGGAGCUAACGCGUGGAGUUGACCGCCUGGGGAGUACGGCCGCAAGGUUA